rnacentral:lncRNA from 1 species
ACCUCACCUCACCUCACCCCACCUCACCUCACCUCACCUCACCUCACCUCACCUCACCCCACCUCACCUCACCUCACCUCACCUCACCUCACCCCACCUCAACUCAACUCAACUCAACUCAACUCAACUCAACUCAUCUCACCUCAACUCACCCCACCUCACCCCACCUCACCUCACCUCACCUCACCUCACCCCACCUCACCUCACCUCACCUCACCUCACCUCACCUCACCUCACCUCACCUCACCUCAACUCACCUCACCUCACCUCACCUCACCUCACCUCACCUCACCUCACCCCACCUCACCCCACCUCACCCCACCUCACCUCACCUCACCUCACCUCACCUCACCUCACCUCACCUCACCUCACCUCACCUCACCUCACCUCACCUCACCUCACCUCACCUCACCUCAC